GCAAAGGUAGCAUAAUCAGUUGGCUUAUAAUUGAAGUCUGGCAUGAACGAAAUUACGGGUAGAAGCUAUCUAUAAAAUAUUUUUAUGAAUUUGGUUAGUAAGUGAAAAAACUUACAGAAUUCAAAUAGACGAGAAGACCCUAGAAAUUUUAAUAUAUAACAUUUUUGUUGGGGCGACAGAGUUACAUAGAACUAACUUUAAAGAACAUGAAACAGAGGUGAUAGAUAAAAUUACUCUAGGGAUAACAGCAUAAUUUUAUUAGUUUAUGACCUCGAUGUUGGACUAGGGACGGUAUACUUUAGAAGAGUGUACUGUAUGCUCUGUUCGAGCAGCAACACCUACAUGAUCUGAGUUCAAAUCGAAA
rnacentral:rRNA from 2 species